CCCUUGUACACACCGCCCGUCACACCAUGGGAGUUGGUUCUACCCGAAGGUAGUGCGCUAACCCGCAAGGGAGGCAGCUAACCACGGUAGGGUCAGCGACUGGGGUG
rnacentral:rRNA from 1 species